rnacentral:rRNA from 5 species
UUGACCUCGAAUCAGGUAGGAAUACCCGCUGAACUUAAGCAUAUCAAUAAGCGG